AUGAUUUUGCUUGUUUUGAACCUGAAUACAUGGAUUUUGUGCAGUGCAUUUUCAGGGUUAAACCAGAACCUCCCCCCUCCCAUCUCCAAACAAUCAAUAAGAAAAACUUCAGGUAACACAAUUAGUCCCUCCUGGUGAGAACAGUUCACAGCAUUUUGUAACUGCUCUUCACAGGUCCCUGCUGCUGCUGACUAAGACUGCCUCCACCCUCAAGGGGUCAAGAGGCCCCCCAGCCAUGUGUCUUUGGGCAGCGCCCAGUAGAGGAAGUGCAGCGGGGCAUGGAGGAUGUGCGGAGGCUCUGCAGGAGGAGGAUUAAUGGGGCUGGAAUGCCUGCACUCCCAUCAUCCCUCACACCUCUCAUCAGCCCGAGACCUCAGUGGCUAAGUCAAACACAUGGAUGCUUCCACGGCCAGGAGGAGAAUGGCAAGGACGCCAACAGUGGCCACAGGAAUGAUUACGGGGCACUGCCUAUGGCAAGUCCAGCCUUUUACAGAGACUAAUCUCCCAGCAAGCCAGAGGACAGGCACCAUUGUAGCUCCAACAUCCAGAGAGGUCAGGGAACCUGCUCAAGGUAUACCAGCAAGGACAAUCUGGAGGCACCGCUGGAAAUGCAUGCCCGGAGAGAAACCGGACAGUCCUGCCAGCUGCAUCUGUGAUUCCCUGGAAAUGAGACUGUGGGACAGACACACAGGAGUAGCAAUCAUGUCCAAGUCGGGAAAUGCAGGACUACAGCAGUGGGUGUCGUUCCCAUUGCCUGGGUGCAUACAGAGCCUUUCAGACAAACAGAAGAAGGCAACUCUGCUGUGCAGGGACUCCUGUAAAACUACAGCAGAUGAAGAGGAAAAGACAAUCAAGGGCACGCCAAUGAAGCUGAAUUCACCAAGCCCAGAAUAUUUUGAAAAGUAACCUUGUUCUUAUUAAUUUCAUACUGGCUGCAAAGGAGAGGAAGAAAAAAAAUACAUUGUUUGCAAUCCAUCACUUGCUCAAUAAAAAAUGGUCUAAAGAUAUAAAACUGUGAUUUGUAAACAACUUUAAAAAAAAUUCCUGGAA